GAAAUGCGAUAAUUAGUGUGAAUUGCAGAAUUCAGUGAAUCAUCGAAUCUUUGAACGCACAUUGCGCCCCUUGGUAUUCCAUGGGGCAUGCCUGUUCGAGCGUCAUUUGUACCUUCAAGCUCUGCUUGGUGUUGGGUGUUUGUCUCGCCUCUGCGCGCAGACUCGCCUCAAAACAAUUGGCAGCCGGCGUAUUGAUUUCGGAGCGCAGUACAUCUCGCGCUUUGCACUCAGAACGACGACGUCCAAAAGUACAUUUUUUACACUCUUGACCUCGGAUCAGGUAGGGAUACCCGCUGAACUUAAGC
rnacentral:misc_RNA from 1 species